rnacentral:rRNA from 1 species
CUCGUAGGCGGCUUGUCGCGUCUGCUGUGAAAACGCGGGGCUUAACUCCGCGCGUGCAGUGGGUACGGGCAGGCUAGAGUGUGGUAGGGGUGACUGGAAUUCCUGGUGUAGCGGUGGAAUGCGCAGAUAUCAGGAGGAACACCGAUGGCGAAGGCAGGUCACUGGGCCAUUACUGACGCUGAGGAGCGAAAAGCGAUGGGGGAGCGAACA